CGGGUGCACUGAUCCAGCCGGGCCUUUCCCUCUGUGGAACCCCAUGGCCUUCACUGGCUGUGGUGGGGAAACAGGACUCUUACUUUGAAAAAAUUAGAGUGCUCCAGGCAGGCCUAUGCUCGAAUACAUUAGCAUGGAAUAAUAGAAUAGGACGUGUGGUUCUAUUUUGUUGGUUUCUAGGACCGCCGUAAUGAUUAAUAGGGACAGUCGGGGGCAUCAGUAUUCAAUUGUCAGAGGUGAAAUUCUUGGAUCUAUUGAAGACUAACUACUGCGAAAGCAUUUGCCAAGGAUGUUUUCAUUGAUAAGGAACGAAAGUUAGGGGAUCGAAGACGAUCAGAUACCGUCGUAGUCUUAACUAUAAACUAUGCCGACUAGGGAUCGGACGAUGUUAUUCUUUGACGCGUUCGGCACCUUUCGAGAAAUCAAAGUGCUUGGGCUCCAGGGGGAGUAUGGUCGCAAGGCUGAAACUUAAAGAAAUUGACGGAAGGGCACCACCAGGGGUGGAACCUGCGGCUUAAUUUGACUCAACACGGGGAAACUCACCAGGUCCAGACACAGUGAGGAUUGACAGAUUGAGAGCUCUUUCUUGAUUCUGUGGGUGGUGGUGCAUGGCCGUUCUUAGUUGGUGGAGUGAUUUGUCUGCUUAAUUGCGAUAACGAACGAGACCUUAACCUGCUAAAUAGCCCGUACUGCUUUGGCAGUUCGCCGGCUUCUUAGAGGGACUAUCGG
rnacentral:rRNA from 1 species